rnacentral:rRNA from 1 species
UUGGUGGCGACCGGCGCACGGGUGCGUAACGCGUAUGUAACCUACCUAUAACAGGGGCAUAACACUGAGAAAUUGGUACUAAUUCCCCAUAAUAUUCGGAGAGGCAUCUCUCCGGGUUGAAAACUCCGGUGGUUAUAGAUGGACAUGCGUUGUAUUAGCUAGUUGGUGAGGUAACGGCUCACCAAGGCAACGAUACAUAGGGGGACUGAGAGGUUAACCCCCCACACUGGUACUGAGACACGGACCAGACUCCUACGGGAGGCAGCAUG